UUUGUCAUAUUAGUUUACAAAUUGCGAAAAAACAAAUUAAAUUUGAAUUUCGCGGGCAGACCCGUCUCAUGCACCUUAAACAGCUCUCCUGUAAAAUCGACAAUUGCGUAGUUAAUGCAAUUGUGAACUAAACCAUCGAUAUAUAUACCAUAUUUUAUAACGUAUGAUAUGCGGAACGCUAACACAAGGCCAACGACACCUCGUAAAAUUUAAUGAUUACUUUGGCAAUCAUUAGGGAAUUGAUGAACAGAUAAACACAAAAACUUGAACCCACAACCCUUCCGAAUAUGUAGUCAGGUAAUUAAUUUCUAGAACAAUCCCUACAAUCUAUCUAGCAUCUCUCGAAAGUGAAAAAAUUCGAGAACCUUUCUACAUUCUACGUCCUAUCAUUAAUUUAUCGAAGAGAUGUUAAUUUCUUAACUCCUUACUAUCAUGUUCCAUUUAUACAGUUUAAAAGCAAAAUAACGGUCAGUUGCACUGGAAUUAUACAAACUAUUUAAUUUGCAAUUAAAAUAUAUUUGUUUGUAUAAUUUGCUUUUGUCACAUAUCGGUUUGUAUAAUUCAGCUAAAUAUGCUGUUUUUAUUGUGUUAACAGGCUUCCAGAAAUAUUUAAUAAGGAGAUUUAACUAGACCGUUAUUUUACUAUUUCUAUCAUUUUAAUUUGCGCAUAGCAAUUAAUAGUCAUAAUUAUGUCAAACGUACAGUCAGAGAAAAGGUUUACAUAUCAGUACCUGUUGUAUCUAAAAGAAAUAUUCUACUAACUAUUUAUCUAUCAUGUUUCUUUGUAAAAUUUGAUUAUGUAAUGUAUAAUCAAAAAUGAACCUAGUUUAACAAUUUAUUUGUGUUAUAUUACUAUAAAUUUUUUAUUUUUUCCCCACUCUAACUGUACUUUUUGAAGCAUCAUUUUUUUUAAUCUAUUUUAGCAUAAUUUAUAUGAUAAUUUUGUUUUUUUUUUCAAAAUCGCGCCAAAUUAGACUAUACUUAACAAAAUGGAGUUCGUAUUUUUAAUUCUAUUAUAAAGCAUUAUGAAUUAUACAAUACAUUAUAUUUAUAUACUAUACAAUAUUUAUAUUACGGAACUCCAUUUCAUACAGCAUAUUCUAAUCCCACACGCAAAAAGCACGCAAAUUAUCUGAAGAUUGACUUUUUGAGAUGGGCCAGUAAAACGGAAACUAUUACUAAUAGUAUAGUGUAUAUACUACAACUAAAGGCUGGCGAAGUUGCGGGCAGCUGUUAGUUAAAUAAACUUGCACUAAAGAACCAGUGCAUAAAAAAAUAGUACCUUAGAAAAAAUUAAAUUGCAAAGUAAAAAACAAGAGAAAUGAGGAUAAAACAAUAUCAAAUAGUGUAAUUUUCCUCUUACUGGCCCAUGUCAAAAUAUCACCCGUUCAGAGCACAAAAGCACCGACAUGAUUGUCCGUCCAUUUAGCUUGUUAUAAAUGAAAUAAAUGCGAAAUUAUUUAAAUAUACAGUUCAUUAUGUAUAGGCAGUUAAAUUAUACAACACAAUAUUAAAUUCUGGUAUGAUAAAAAGUGGAUUUAGUUUAAGAUAGUGACUAUAAUGUCGU